rnacentral:rRNA from 1 species
UACGAAGGGGGCUAGCGUUGCUCGGAAUUACUGGGCGUAAAGCGCACGUAGGCGGAUCUUUAAGUCAGGGGUGAAAUCCUGGAGCUCAACUCCAGAACUGCCUUUGAUACUGAGGACCUUGAGUUCGGGAGAGGUGAGUGGAACUGCGAGUGUAGAGGUGAAAUUCGUAGAUAUUCGGAAGAACACCAGUGGCGAAGGCGGCUCACUGGCCCGGUACUGACGCUGAGGUGCGAAAGCGUGGGGAGCAAACAGG